ensembl:lncRNA
CCUUCCCUUACCAAAAAGUAGUAUACUUCAAGUUUAUGUUAAGUGUACUUAAGUAAAUUUCAAGUAUAUUUUCAAGUAUACUUUAUGUAGCAAGUAUACAAAUAUCAGUAUUCUAGUAGUAUACUUGUAAGUGUACUGUUUCAAUACUCCUUGGGACUAAAUUAGCCCACUUUCUAGUAUAUAAAAGUAUACUUUUAAGCCAAAAGGGGCGGGGCAUCGGGCUAUAUAAGCAGCCGUCUCACCUAGGCAAACUUUUGCUGAGGUUUGUAUAAAAAGAGAAAAUUUCCUAGAGCAAAUUUCGUGGUGUUGUUUCAAAUGUCGUGCCACAGUUGUGGCUUAUGCAGGGCCCCUGUGCAUGCUGAUGAUGGGCACGAUGACUGCGUGCGAUGCCUGGGAAGUCCCACGCUGAAAUCCCAAGGAAAUCCAGCUGCUCAUCGACACGACCUGUCCACAUUGCGUGGAUAUGAGUCUGGCCUCUCUGCGCUCAUGGAUAACUUUCUUUUCAGAAAGCGACUCCGCCCCACGCUCCCUCCUGUUUCUCUCCUCCCAGGAGCCUGUGAGGAAGUAACAGCGGGGCAGAGGAUUCCAGUGCUCGGAUGUGAUCGAGCUCACGUCGGCUCAAGGCCCACAUGCAUCAGUCUCUCCUCAGAGAAAGUUUUCGCCCGUCCACUUGACUGCCGACUUACGUUCUCGGUCACUGAAAACCGCUCUGCUAGUGGUGCUAGCAUCGGUUAAGCGAGUAGGAGACUUGCAGGCUCUCUCUGUGAGCCCCUCUUUUCUUGAGUUUGGGCCUGGCGACUCCAAGGUCGUCCUGAAGCCAAGGCACGGGUAUGUCCCAAAUGUUCUCUCCACUGCGUACAGAGACUAGAUUGUUGUUCUCUCCACGCAUCCUCCUUCUCAGGAUGAUCAGGAGUGGAACUUACUCUGCCCUGUCAGGGCUUUAAGGGCUACACUGACCGCCUCUUUUCGACAGUCAGAACAGCUAUUUGUGUGCUUCGGAGGCAACACCAAGGGUCAUUCGGGUCAUCAUGGGGUUAGCUUUGUCCCCUACAUGUUCUCAGGCCCCUUGGCGCCUGAACUGCAGGAGGUCAACAAGGUGACUGGUGUAAUUACAUUCCCGAUUGGUCUGAGAUAUUUUACGUAUUCAUUACAAGCCCUUCUUAGUGCUCUGGGCGAAAACCCGGUCAUCCUUCCUGAUAGCAUGGCGUGAUUAUAUUGUCCCCAUAGCGUCUUAGUGUAAACGGCUUACGACACAGUAAGAGUGUAGUAUCAAUACAGAAUGAGUAUUGCUUACCUUGCCGUACUAUGCGUAAGGACACCUCAUGUCGUCGCUUCAGUCGAAUUAAAUCAGUUUGCCUAGGUGAGACGGCUCACUCACCAUAGGCUCACGCGGCUCUGCUGCUCCGCCAUUGGUUCGUUUAUAUCGAACUCCACGAACCAAUGGUCGUGCAGUUUCAAUGUGUGAUUCAAAAAGGCUUCAGAAAUCGGAGAAAAGGACUUUUCCCCAUAGCGUCUUAGCCUAAACAGCUUACGACGCAGAACUCAUUCCGUAUCUAAGGGAACCGAGGUUACGUUAGUAACCGAGUAUGUUUAGUAGUUUUAUACUGCAAGUAUACUCAUAAGUUUUCUUUAAGUGAACUUUACAUCAUAAUUUAAGUAUACUACUACAUCCCUAUUUAGGUUUUAAUUUGUAUAUAUUUUGUUAUAUGAAUAUCUGAACAUACAAAACAUCCAAAGAAAGAACAGAGUAUCUGCUUGUAAACAAAAACAUUUUAUUCUAGCUUCAUGCAUUCCUUUUUUAAACACUUUAAUGUGGGUAAAUUUCAUAAAAAAUAAAGAAAUAACAUUUUGAACA